GCGGACGUGGCGGAACGGUAGACGCUGGGGACUUAAAAUCCUCUUCCCCAAAGGGAGUGCGGGUUCAAAUCCCGCCGUCCGCACCA
rnacentral:tRNA from 1 species